rnacentral:lncRNA from 1 species
AACGCAUCAUCUAGAAUUUAAAAGUACUUACAAAAUCGCAUAACCCCAUGGGUUAGCUAGAAAUAACACAAUUGUUUAGCAGCAGAAAAACGGAAGAUACAAGGGCUACAUUAACACCACGGUGAGAGUGUGUUGGAAUAUAGGCCCGUAACCCAUACAAGCAGAACGUACUCUUACUCGUCGUCGGAGCUUCCUGCAUCAUUAAACGAUGCAACCAGUAUGGUCAAUACAUUGAAUGUAUUGACAAGAUUUACUAGGAGUUAUAUCAGAACUUACCAAGUAUAUGCAUAAUGUGGCAAAGUGGGGUUCAAGGCUAUUUGCAUAAAAGCUUAGUUGUUUAGUCCUAUCUUUUAAUCAAAUAGAAUUUUAUCACAAUUGGACAUGGGGUAGACGCACUCAUGCUCUUAUUAAACUAAGGACAUUGAAUAGACACAUCAAUGCUCCUAAACCCAAGUUCAAACCAUUCAUUUUAUUAAGAAAUUAGAAUGAGUGAGACUUUCCUUACAGCUCCACAUCUAGUUGCUCAAAUUGUCUAUUGCCGGGGACACGGCUAAGUACUUAGUUUUGAUGUUCUUGAAAGUAUGGGAUAGCUUUAGGUUCAUACAACUUACUCUUGUCUCGCCAGAGCCCAUAUAGCAUUGUGAUUGUAUUGGAAGCUACUAAAUAGGAAACUAGUCCAGUCUCGGUUACCCUAGGUGGCAUUCCACAGUUGCAACGCAGGCGCUCCCUGAAUCCACGGGACAGACGUCCAUGAACGAUCUCUUCCCGAAUCCACAGGAAGUCGACUCAAAGGGACCCAUAGAAAUGGACCUGACGCCGCUAAUCCUCAAAAUCCUCAAAACAGCCCACUCAGGAUGGUUCAUUAAAUUAAUUGUUUUGCCUUACUCUAAUAAAACAUUUCAUAUUUCCAAAGGCAUAACAAUAUCAUAAUGUAGUAAUUUCCCCCACAAUACUACCAUGGCCUAGUAUUCAACUACAAUCGAUGGCAAUUUGCUAGCAAAGUAAUGGCAAGGGUAAACUACACUACCUGUAAUUUAUAGCUAGCAUAGAGGUAUGAGUAAUAUUCCUAAUGCAUCUAAUAAAACAACUAGUGCAUAGUAAAAUAUUUAGGAGAUGAUCAAAGUGAACUUGCCUUAUCCAAGGUUGUGGUAGUUCUCGCACUCUUCGCAACAACAAGGUUCACAAUCCACACAAUCUAAAAUAAAAGAAAGCACACACACAAUAAACAUGACAUUCAAUACAAAAACAUGCUAUGAAGAUGCACACUUAGGAUUACUUCUUAAUGUAACAUGUUUAAUUUCUGUUUUGAAAAGUUUCACAAAAGAUUUGGACAGAUUAUACAAAACAAAGAAGUAAAUACUAUGCAUGAAACAAGAAUGAGCUUUAAUUAAAAGCUUAUUUGAUUUUUGCAAAGCAUAGAGCAAGAUUAAAUUUGUGUGGCAAUAUCAUUUAUAAACUAAUUUCCCAUCUGGUCCUAAUGGAUAGAGAGCAUACUCAAAUAAUUUUUCAGCAAGCUAACAUGCUCAAAACUAGUUUGAAAUAAUUCAUUUGAAAAUUAAACCAUAAUUAAGCAUUCUGCAAUUUUCUUCUGAUAAAGUUGUCCAAAGUUAAAAUUAAACUAUGCCAAAAGAUUCUACAUGUUGUGAGGAUUCCAGAAAGGUAUAGAACUUCAAAUUUGGCCAAACGGUUUGAAAGUUAUGAUGGUUUGAAGUUCCAGGGGCUUUUUUGCAAAGUUACAAUUUUAAUUCGGCCGAGAAAAUAAAUUUAAUUUUACUUUGACACGUGGCGCUACGCUAUAGGCUGGUAUCGGUUCAUCUAGGGUUUUAACAUGGUCGUUGGAUUGAGAUCCGACGGUGGGGAACGAAGGAGGCUCACCGGGCGGCGCACUGACCGGAGCUGAGGAAGAUGGCGGCGGCGGCUUCAGGCGGCUUCGGCGCGACGACGACGGGGCUCGGUUCGGCUCGGGGAAAGCAGGGGAAUGGGCGGGUCGGCGAGGCGAACUCGUCGGUGGUCACGGCUUCGGGCGGGGAGGCCCGGGCGUGCGGCUAGGACGACGAACAGAGGCGGGCGGCGGCGACGGCUUCGGGUGGCGGCGGCCUCGGGCUCUGCGGCGGUCCAAAGAAGAAAGCAAGCGCGUCACGGGAUGCACAUGGGAGAGAGGAGAAAGGCGAGGGGGUCGGCGGUGCGAGAAAACGGCGGCAGUGAAGAUUUCCGGCGAGAAAUUGGGAAGUAACCGGCGCGAAAUCGGGCGUGUGGUUUGGGGAAAAAGGAGGAGAAAGAAGAGGGGGUCGGGGUGACGCGCAGGGAUUUGAGGAUGGUGGCUCGUGCGCGACGAAAUCGCGAAGUGGGCGUUGAGGCGUGCUCGCGGACGUGGCCGGGAAGAUCGAGGGUGGGC